AGCAGGAUUUCUGAUCAUAUGGUAAAAGCAUGUUUAACCUUGAAAGAAAUCAUUAAACUUUUUUCCAAAGUGACUACCAUUCUGCAUUUCUACCAGCAAU
rnacentral:pre_miRNA from 1 species